rnacentral:rRNA from 1 species
GAUGAACGCUGGCGGCGUGCCUAAUACAUGCAAGUCGAGCGAACGGACGAGAAGCUUGCUUUUCUGAUGUUAGCGGCGGACGGGUGAGUAACACGUGGAUAACCUACCUAUAAGACUGGGAUAACUUCGGGAAACCGGAGCUAAUACCGGAUAAUAUUUUGAACCGCAUGGUUCAAAAGUGAAAGACGGUCUUGCUGUCACUUAUAGAUGGAUCCGCGCUGCAUUAGCUAGUUGGUAAGGUAACGGCUUACCAAGGCAACGAUGCAUAGCCGACCUGAGAGGGGGAUUCGCCACACCGGGACUGAGAACCGGUCCCGACUCCUAAGGGAGGGACGAGUAGGGAAUUCUUCCCCAUGGGGGGAAGCCUGACCGAGGCAACCCGGGUGGGUGGAGAAGGGCCUCGGGUUGUAAAAACCUUUUUUUGGGGAAGAAAAAAAGUGGGAGGAAACUGUGCAAUUCUGAGGGUACCCAAAGAAAAAGGCCCGGGUAACUUACUG